rnacentral:rRNA from 1 species
UCCCAGUUCGGAUUGUAGUCUGCAACUCGACUGCAUGAAGCUGGAAUCGCUAGUAAUCGCGAAUCAGAAUGUCGCGGUGAAUACGUUCCCGGGUCUUGUACACACCGCCCGUCACACCAUGGGAGCCGACAACGCCCGAAGUCAGUGACCUAACCGAGAGGGAGGAGCUGCCGAAGGCGGGGUUGGUAACUGGGGUGAAGUCGUAACAAGGUACC